AAUAUAUUAAUAUAAAUAAAUUAUUUCUAUUUUCCAAAUAGAGAAUUUAAAAUUUAAUUUUAAAUGUAUUA
rnacentral:tRNA from 1 species